UAGAUACCCUGGUAGUCCAUGCCGUAAACGAUGAGUGCUAAGUGUUGGGAGGUUUCCGCCUCUCAGUGCUGCAGCUAACGCAUUAAGCACUCCGCCUGGGGAGUACGACCGCAAGGUUGAAACUCAAAGGAAUUGACGGGGGCCCGCACAAGCGGUGGAGCAUGUGGUUUAAUUCGAAGCAACGCGAAGAACCUUACCAGGUCUUGACAUCCAGUGCAAACCUAAGAGAUUAGGAGUUCCUUCGGGGACG
rnacentral:rRNA from 1 species